CCGAGUGUGCGUUAAGUAGUGUUUGCGUUCCUCUGUGCUCAUUGAUGAGGGUCAGAAGGUCACGGGGUUAAUUGCAGUUUUAUACACUAAGUGGACAAUUAGAGGGCAUUUUAGUCGGCUUAGCUUUGAGUUUCAGGUAUCAGUGAGAGGGGGGUUGGGUUUGGCGUUCAGGGGUCAAAGAAGAUUAGCACAAAUUGCCAUUUUCACACCCUGUUCGAGGUGCAUUGGGAAAAUCCAUUAUUGAAGGUGGCGGUAAUGUACAAUUUAGCACAGAAGAAGACGAGAAGGGGGGAAUGAAGGAAGAAGAGUGUUAAUGGUGUUUACUGCUCAUCUGGAGAGAUGCCGCCAUCUUGCUGCAGGAGGUUAGAAGUUUAAGUCGUUAUCAGUGUGCGUGAACAUCACCAGCAGAAUUUACUCUCAUGUGCGACUGUCUUUGGCAUCCAGUAAUGCCUCCACACCUGUACUCGGUCAGAGCUGUGCCAUAGCCACGCCCACAAACAGGUGUCUACGUACAUCACAACGCCUCUGUCUCCUGUAACGCACGCCGGUGCAGUGGAACGUCCUGGUGAGCAACGACGUCCUCAUGUCUGCCGUCUCAGCGUUCACGUCCAUGAACCCACCCCACCCGUGUGUCACUCGGGUAGAUCCUUCGUUUGUCUGGCACUGUUACACCAACGGGAAUCUCAGGAGUCGCAGCAUCUCUGCAUGCUCCUAAUCGGUCUCUCCUGCAAUCAAGGUCAUCCAGAGUUGAAGGAAGGUUUUGCUCGAUGAUCUCACCUUUACGUUUUUCC
ensembl:lncRNA